rnacentral:rRNA from 1 species
GAUGAACGCUGGCGGCGUGCCUAAUACAUGCCAGUCGAGCGAACGGACGAGAAGCUUGCUUCUCUGAUGUUAGCGGCGGACGGGUGAGUAACACGUGGAUAACCUACCUAUAAGACUGGGAUAACUUCGGGAAACCGGAGCUAAUACCGGAUAAUAUUUUGAACCGCAUGGUUCAAAAGUGAAAGACGGUCUUGCUGUCACUUAUAGAUGGAUCCGCGCUGCAUUAGCUAGUUGGUAAGGUAACGGCUUACCAAGGCAACGAUGCAUAGCCGACCUGAGAGGGUGAUCGGCACACUGGAACUGAGACACGGUCCAGACUCCUACGGGAGGCAGCAGUAGGGAAUCUUCCGCAAUGGGCGAAAGCCUGACGGAGCAACGCCGCGUGAGUGAUGAAGGUCUUCGGAUCGUAAAACUCUGUUAUUAGGGAAGAACAUAUGUGUAAGUAACUGUGCACAUCUUGACGGUACCUAAUCAGAAAGCCACGGCUAACUACGUG